CUAAGUUUGAUGGCGACCGGCGCACGGGUGAGUAACACGUAUCCAACCUGCCGAUGACUCGGGGAUAGCCUUUCGAAAGAAAGAUUAAUACCCGAUGGCAUAGUUCUUCCGCAUGGUGGAACUAUUAAAGAAUUUCGGUCAUCGAUGGGGAUGCGUUCCAUUAGGUUGUUGGCGGGGUAACGGCCCACCAAGCCUUCGAUGGAUAGGGGUUCUGAGAGGAGGGUCCCCCACAUUGGAACUGAGACACGGUCCAAACUCCUACGGGAGGCAGCAUG
rnacentral:rRNA from 1 species